UCACUAUGGCAGCAUAUAUACAAAAAUUGGAAUGACACAGAGAAGAUUAGCAUGGCCCCUACUCAAGGAGGAUACAAAAAUUUGUGAAGCAAAGCUUAU
ensembl:snRNA U6 U6 spliceosomal RNA